CCUGGCCCUAGAGGCAUUGCAGGUAUGGCUGCUGUAUCUCUUGCACAUUAGUAGGUGGCAGAGAGGAUAGGAGCUACAUCUAUACUCAGUGUUCUGACCUAUGAACACCUGAGUGAUUAGUAGCCUAACAUU